rnacentral:rRNA from 1 species
GACGAACGCUGGCGGCGUGCUUAACACAUGCAAGUCGAACGGAAAGGCCCUGCUUUUGUGGGGUGCUCGAGUGGCGAACGGGUGAGUAACACGUGAGUAACCUGCCCUUGACUUUGGGAUAACUUCAGGAAACUGGGGCUAAUACCGGAUAGGAGCUCCUGCUGCAUGGUGGGGGUUGGAAAGUUUCGGCGGUUGGGGAUGGACUCGCGGCUUAUCAGCUUGUUGGUGGGGUAGUGGCUUACCAAGGCUUUGACGGGUAGCCGGCCUGAGAGGGUGACCGGCCACAUGGGACUGAGAUACGGCCCAGACUCCUACGGGAGGCAGCAGUGGGGAAUAUUGCACAAUGGGCGGAAGCCUGAUGCAGCAACGCCGCGUGCGGGAUGACGGCCCUCGGGUUGUAAACCGCUUUCGCCUGUGACGAAGCGUGAGUGACGGUAAUGGGUAAAGAAGCACCGGCUAACUACGUG